UACGGAGGGUGCGAGCGUUGUCCGGAAUCAUUGGGCGUAAAGGGCGCGUAGGUGGCCCCUCAAGCGUGCGGUGAAAGUCAGGGGCUCAACCCCUGAUCGGCCGUGCGAACUGGGGAGCUUGAGCACUGUAGAGGCAGGCGGAAUUCCGGGUGUAGCGGUGGAAUGCGUAGAGAUCCGGAAGAACACCGGUGGCGAAGGCGGCCUGCUGGGCAGUUUUGCUGACACUGAGGCGCGACAGCGUGGGGAGCAAACGGGG
rnacentral:rRNA from 1 species